rnacentral:lncRNA from 1 species
CCCCGAGCGGCGCGAGGUCGGGGGGCGGGGACUGUCUCGGCCGGUGGCGGCGCCCGGGCCGCUCGCGGUGCCGUGGAGAUGCGGCGGUGGCUUAAGAGGCGGCAGGACGGCCAGGACAGGCGUGAGGGCCCCCGCCGAAACAGCCCGGCAGGCGCUGCUGACGUCAGAGGCAUGUCCUCCAUCUUCACGGUCCACCUGCGUCCACAGAAGCUGGACAAGAGCCUCUGUAAGGAUGCCCUGGCAAGAAAGCUCGUGGUGCUCACUUUGGGCUUCGCAGGUCAGGUGCUGGCGUUUCUAGUGUCUGCAAGGGAGCAGUGCUGUUGCCACCCAGCACCUGGGGCCCUGUGUUCCGGAGAUGCACUUUGA